CGUUCCAUGGUAUAAUGGUUAGCACUCUGGACUCUGAAUCCAGAGAUCCGAGUUCAAAUCUCGGUGGAACCU
rnacentral:tRNA from 1 species